UCUUCGUAGGUGAACCUGCGGAGGGAUCAUUAUUGAAUGUUGGGUCUGCGUCUUGUGAAACACCGAGCGCGCCCACACUCUUUACCACACACACUUGUGAACCCUUUUCGAGCUGCCCUCUUCGUGAUGGGCGGCGAGAAGCACUUGUGAUUUUAAACCAGUCUAGGAUGUCAAUCCAAUUGAUAACUACAAACAACUAUAAACGGUGGAUCUCUUGGCUCUCGCAUCGAUGAAGAACGCAGC
rnacentral:misc_RNA from 1 species